GACGAACGCUGGCGGCGUGCCUAAUACAUGCAAGUUGAGCGCUGAAGGUUGGUACUUGUACCGACUGGAUGAGCAGCGAACGGGUGAGUAACGCGUGGGGAAUCUGCCUUUGAGCGGGGGACAACAUUUGGAAACGAAUGCUAAUAGCGCAUAAAAACUUUAAACACAAGUUUUAAGUUUGAAAGAUGCAAUUGCAUCACUCAAAGAUGAUCCCGCGUUGUAUUAGCUAGUUGGUGAGGUAAAGGCUCACCAAGGCGAUGAUACAUAGCCGACCUGAGAGGGUGAUCAGCCGCACUGGGAGUGAGACACGCCCCAAACUCCUACGGGAGGCAGCAGUAGGGAAUCUUCGGCCAGGGACGAAAGUCUGACCGCGCAACGCCGCGUGAGUGAAGAAGGAUUUCGGAUCGUAAAACUCUGUUGGUAGAGAAGAACGUUGGUGAGAGUGGAAAGCUCAUCAAGUGACGGUAACUACCCAGAAAGGGACGGCUAACUACGUG
rnacentral:rRNA from 1 species